ensembl:lncRNA
AGUGGAAGAUCACGAUGACCUCAUGCACAUAUUUGCAGAGCAGAUCACGCCACUGGUGGAGUCCCACGGGCCUUACUUCCUGUCUGAGCUCAUCGAGGCUCAGGACGCAGAGAACCAUGCAGCUGUCUGCGAAUUUUUCUUGCUUUGUCAGUGUGAGUGGUCACAUGGAUUUGAAGCUAUUCAAUAAGUGGUUUAAACUUGAAGAAUCUGAAGGAUUGAGAAAGACAAAUCCAGCACAUCAAGAGGAAAAACCAGAGGAAAAACAUCCACUGUGGGAGGAACAUAAUAUCUCUAAUGCCCAGCAAUAUGAUGAAGCCAAAGAACCUGUGCAACUUUACAGGGUGAACGGAUGGCGGAGGAGGAGACAUAUAUCAGCCAGAGUGUUUUGA